rnacentral:rRNA from 1 species
GAUGAACGCUGGCGGCGUGCCUAAUACAUGCAAGUCGAGCGAACAGACGAGGAGCUUGCUCCUCUGACGUUAGCGGCGGACGGGUGAGUAACACGUGGAUAACCUACCUAUAAGACUGGGAUAACUUCGGGAAACCGGAGCUAAUACCGGAUAAUAUAUUGAACCGCAUGGUUCAAUAGUGAAAGACGGUUUUGCUGUCACUUAUAGAUGGAUCCGCGCCGCAUUAGCUAGUUGGUAAGGUAACGGCUUACCAAGGCAACGAUGCGUAGCCGACCUGAGAGGUGGACCGGCCACACUGGAACUGAGACACGGUCCAGACUCCUACGGGAGGCAGCAGUAGGGAAUCUUCCGCAAUGGGCGAAAGCCUGACGGAGCAACGCCGCGUGAGGGAUGAAGGUCUUCGGAUCGUAAAACUCUGUUAUUAGGGAAGAACAAAUGUGUAAGUAACUAUGCACGUCUUGACGGUACCUAAUCAGAAAGCCACGGCUAACUACGUG